UCGCGUGGAAGCUGGGAACUGAAUCUAGAGCCCUUAACGACGGCCUUCUGGCGCAGUCCAUUCAAGGGUGUAGGCAAAGGCCUGUUCAGAGGAAAAUGGCACGUAGCUAAGUUGAUGUCGUCUUUUCGACGGUCUUCAGAGGCUGCUCGAUAUUCGGCGUUGUACGAAAGCGUUAAAAUGUGGCUGACCAAUCACACCAAGCCUCCCUGUAACGGCCGCACCGCCGCCUGAACGACACGGUGGUUAUAAAAUGCGGAGGUUAAAGAAAAUAUAUGGCGUGAACGGCUGAGGAAUGACGACGAGGUUUAGACAAAAAAACGCUCCGGCUUGGUUUGAAUGUACCACCACGUGAAACCCGCGUCCGUCCGCAGAGAUCGUGUCAGGUGUGUUGGGCCGAGGCUGCUGGAAUGUUUUUCAUCAGGUGCUCUCUGAAGAUUUCCACAUAUUCCGGGAAGCCUUCUUUAGGCUGGAAUGGGAGAGGACGAGCAAGAGUCGAGUAGUGGACAAAUGAUUCCUGACUUAAAGUCUAAAUAAAGGUAAACCUUUCCUGCU